AAACUGUUGGUGGUGUGGACACUCUUGAAGAAGAUCCUUGAAUCAUUCCCAAGCAUGAUAGAGGUUUUUAUCAGGCUUCUAUUUGAAGCUCACUAUAUCACUACGAAGUUU
rfam:Capsicum annuum cultivar Zunla-1 chromosome 5, whole genome shotgun sequence